rnacentral:rRNA from 1 species
ACUCCUACGGGGAGGCAGCAGUGGGGGAAUAUUGCACAAUGGGCGCAAGCCUGAUGCAGCCAUGCCGCGUGUAUGAAGAAGGCCUUCGGGUUGUAAAAGUACUUUUCAGCAGUGAGGAAGGUAGUGUAGUUAAUAGCUGCAUUAUUUGACGUUAGCUGCAGAAGAAGCACCGGCUAACUCCGUGCCAGCAGCCGCGGUAAUACGGAGGGUGCGAGCGUUAAUCGGAAUUACUGGGCGUAAAGCGCAUGCAGGUGGUUUGUUAAGUCAGAUGUGAAAGCCCGGGGCUCAACCUCGGAAUAGCAUUUGAAACUGGCAGGCUAGAGUCUGUAGAGGGGGGUAGAAUUUCAGGUGUAGCGGUGAAAUGCGUAGAGAUCUGAAGGAAUACCGNGAGGCGCCAGUGNGCCCUGGAANACUGACGCUCAGAUGCGAAAGCGU